GAUGAACGCUAGCGAUAGGCUUAACACAUGCAAGUCGAGGGGCAGCAUGGUCUUAGCUUGCUAAGGCUGAUGGCGACCGGCGCACGGGUGCGUAACGCGUAUGCAACUUGCCUCACAGAGGGGGAUAACCCGUCGAAAGACGGACUAAUACCGCGUACACUCUAUGUUGGGCAUCCAAUGUAGAGGAAAUGAACUUCGCUGUGAGAUAGGCAUGCGUCCCAUUAGCUAGUUGGUGAGGUAACGGCUCACCAAGGCGACGAUGGGUAGGGGAACUGAGAGGUUGAACCCCCACACUGGUACUGAGACACGGACCAGACUCCUACGGGAGGCAGAAGUGAGGAAUAUUGGUCAAUGGGCGAGAGCCUGAACCAGCCAAGUCGCGUGAAGGAUGACUGUCUUAUGGAUUGUAAACUUCUUUUAUACGGGAAUAACAAGAGUCACGUGUGGCUCCCUGCAUGUACCGUAUGAAUAAGCAUCGGCUAACUCCGUG
rnacentral:rRNA from 1 species